rnacentral:tRNA from 1 species
AAAUAAGAAGCUAAUUGUUAGCAUUUAGUUUCGACCUAAAAUUAUGGUGAACCAAUCACCCUUAUUUA